CACAGCCAUCAGGUGCACAAACACAUGAUUGCUAAAUUGUAGACACACCAAUCAGGUUUAAGCGCUGUAAAAAUGCAGCAGGUAGGUUCAUCUGCCUUCAACCAAAAUGAAAGGAGUCAGAAGAAGAGUGAGGGUGAGAGGAGGAGUACACAGAGGAGGAGAAGGAGGUAGAGGAAGAGGAAGAGGCCGCGCCAGAGGUCGAGGAAGACCUGAAGCAGGAGGAGAACGUGCACAAAGAAGAAGAGGACCAAACUUAUCAAAUGACAUUCGUGCAACACUAGUGGACCAUGUUGUGAACCACGGAUUGACGCUGAGGGAGGCUGGACUGAGAGUUCAGCCAAAUCUUAGCAGAUAUACAGUGGCAUCUGUCAUAAGGACUUUUCGACAGGAAAACAGGAUUGAGGGUCGGGAACGACAAGGAGGAAGGGGGCCCAUAUUCAGGCAAGAACAAGAGAGAGAGAUAAUAAACAUGGUUUUGGCCAAUAAUGCUGUCAGGCUCAGAACUACAAGCCAACAUUAUCGGUGACCAUGCCAUUUACAAUAAUGUCCAUCAGGUCUCUCAGUCAACACUGGCACGCAUCCUGAAAAGACAUCAGGUUCAAAUGAAACAACUUUAUCGAGUGCCUUUUGAGCGGAAUUCAG
rnacentral:lncRNA from 1 species